ACCCCAUGGCGCAGCCGGUAACGCGUUUGGUGACUAACCAGAUGGGUCCCGGGUUCAAACCCACUAGAGGUA